AUGCCGCCGCCGACCACCGCGGGCACGCUCCCGAACAGGGCACUCCACGCCCGGCUCCUCCGCUCCGGCGCGCUCGACGCCGACCCGUCAGCCGCCGCCCCGCUCGCCGCGUCGGCCGCCAACUCCUCCCUCCCCUACGCGCUCUCCCUCCUCCGAGCCCACCCCUCCACCUUCUCCUACAACACCGCCAUCCGCUCCCUCGCGCACGGCCCCCGCCCGCACCUCGCCGUCGCCCUCUACCGCUCCAUGCUCCUCGGCCCCCUCUCCAACCCCAACAACUACACCUACCCGCCGCUCCUCGCCGCCUGCGCCCGCCUCCUCCCCGCGAGCUCACCAACCCCGGCGGCCGCGCCGGGCACCGCCGUCCACGCCUCCCUCUUCCGCCGCGGCCUGGAUUCCCGCGACCGGUUCAUCGGCGCGUCGCUCCUCUCCUUCUAUGCGGCCGCCGGGGACCUGCCCGCCGCACGCCAGGUGUUCGACGCAAGUCCCCCCGGCCAAAGGGACCUGCCUCUCUGGAACUCGCUCCUCCACGCCCACCUCUCGCAGGGCUUCUACGCCCACGUGCUGCGCCUCUCGCGGCAGAUGCCCGCCGCCGACGAGGUCACGCUGCUCGCCCUCGUCUCCGCCUGCUCGCAUCUCGGCGCGCUCGACACAGGCCGCUGGGCGCAUGCUUCCUAUGCAAGGACCCGCCGGAGCACCACCAGGAAUCUGGGCACCGCUCUGCUCAACAUGUACAUGAGGUGCGGAGAUGUCGAGAGCGCGUGGUCCGUGUUCCGGGAGACGCUCGACAAGGAUGUCCGGACGUGGAGCGUCAUGAUCGCCGGACUGGCCACCAACGGUCUCCCCAGGGACGCGCUGGCCUUGUUCGCUGAGAUGAAGAACACAGGUGUGGACCCAGAUUCCAUCACCAUGACCGCUGUGCUGAGUGCGUGCGCCCAUGCUGGCAUGGUGGAUGAGGGCAAGAAGUUCCUGGACUGUAUGCCGGUUGAAUAUCGUGUACAGCCCACCAUAGAGCAUUAUGGCUGCGUCGUCGAUCUGCUUGGUCGAGCAGGGCAGCUAGAUGAGGCAUUGGCUCUCAUUAAGACUGUCCCGUUCAAGGCUGAUGUUGUGCUAUGGGGUGCUCUCUUGGUCGCAUGUAGGGUUCACAAGAAUGUCGACAUGGGGGAGAUGGCUGCCAUGGAGAUACUCAAGUUGGAUCCCCAGCAUGCCGGGGCAUGUGUGUUCUUAUCUAAUGUCUAUGCUGAUGCUGGGAAAUGGGACCUUGUACAAGGGGUAAGGAGCUCGAUGAAAGAACACAAGAUAUACAAGCCUCCAGGAUCCAGCAUUGUUGAGCUGAAUGGUGUGGUUUACGAGUUCUUGUCCGGGGACCGUUCACAUCCUCAGUCUGAUCGAAUAUAUGCAAUGCUUGAUGAGAUUUGCAAGACCUUAAGCCUCAAGGGACACAAGCCUUCAACUAAAGAAGUUACCUUCGACGUUGAUGAGGAGGACAAAGAAGUUUGCAUUUCGCAGCACAGCGAGAAACUCGCGCUUGCCUUGGGACUCAUAAGCACGACAAGAGGGGAUGUCAUCCGUAUAGUGAAGAACCUGAGAAUCUGUGAGGAUUGUCACUCUGUCAUGAAGAUAGUCUCAGAGGUCUACGAUCGAGUCAUAGUUGUCAGAGACCGAAACCGGUUCCACCACUUCAAGAACGGCUCCUGUUCCUGCUUGGACUAUUGGUAG
rnacentral:rRNA from 1 species